UACGUAGGUGACAAGCGUUGUCCGGAUUUACUGGGUGUAAAGAGCGCGCAGGCGGUCGAUCAAGUCGAGUGUGAAAGCCCCCGGCUCAACUGGGGAGGGUCAUUCGAUACUGAUCGACUCGAAGGCAGGAGAGGGUAGUGGAAUUCCCGGUGUAGUGGUGAAAUGCGUAGAUAUCGGGAGGAACACCGAUGGCGAAGGCAGCACUCUGGGCCGGUACUGACGCUGAGGAGCGAAAGCGUGGGGAGCGAACAGG
rnacentral:rRNA from 1 species